CCAGACUCCUACGGGAGGCAGCAGUGAGGAAUAUUGGUCAAUGGGCGGAAGCCUGAACCAGCCAAGUCGCGUGAGGGAAGAAGGCCCUGCGGGUCGCAGACCUCUUUGGACGGGGAGCAAGGCCGCCGACGUGUCGGCGGAAGGAGAGUACCCGUAGAACAGGCAUCGGCUAACUCCGUGCCAGCAGCCGCGGUAAUACGGAGGAUGCGAGCGUUAUCCGGAUUUACUGGGUGUAAAGGGAGCGUAGACGGCAGUGCAAGUCUGAAGUGAAAGGCAAGGGCUCAACCCUUGGACUGCUUUGGAAACUGUGCUGCUGGAGUGUCGGAGAGGCAAGUGGAAUUCCUAGUGUAGCGGUGUAAUGCGUAGAUAUUAGGAGGAACACCAGUGGCGAAGGCGGCUUGCUGGACGAUGACUGACGUUGAGGCUCGAAAGCGUGGGGAGCAAACAGGAUUAGAUACCCCUGUACUA
rnacentral:rRNA from 1 species